AAUAUACUUCCACCGUCCAACAACAAAAGAUGUCUUAACUUUUACUAAAUUUGAAUGCAUCUAUAUACUAAGUUAUGUCUAGAUACAUCUAAAUUUUGAAAAACUUGAGACAUCUUUUGUUGUACGGAGGGAGUACGAU
rfam:Brachypodium distachyon strain Bd21 chromosome 2, whole genome shotgun sequence.